AGCACCUUCGGGUGUGAAUUAGCGGCGAACGGGUGAGGAACACGUGGAGAAUCUGCCUUCAACUCUGGGAUAACUCCGGGAAACCGGGGCUAAUACCGGAUAUGAGCCUUGAUCGCAUGAUCGGGGCUGGAAAGUUUUUCGGUUGAAGAUGACUUCGCGGCCUAUCAGCUUGUUGGUGAGGUAAUGGCUCACCAAGGCGACGACGGGUAGCCGGCCUGAGAGGGCGACCGGCCACACUGGGACUGAGACACGGCCCAGACUCCUACGGGAGGCAGCAGUGGGGAAUAUUGGGCAAUGGAGGAAACUCUGACCCAGCGACGCCGCGUGAGGGAUGAAGGCCUUCGGGUUGUAAACCUCUUUCAGUAGGGAAGAAGCGAAAGUGACGGUACCUACAGAAGAAGCACCGGCUAACUAUGUGCCAGCAGCCGCGGUAAUACAUAGGGUGCUAGCGUUGUCCGGAAUUAUUGGGCGUAAAGAGCUCGUAGGUGGUUCGAUACGUCGGAUGUGAAAAUCAGGGGCUCAACCCCUGACCUGCAUCCGAUACGGUCGAGCUAGAGUUUGGUAGGGGAGACUGGAAUUCCUGGUGUAGCGGUGGAAUGCGCAGAUAUCAGGAGGAACACCGAUGGCGAAGGCAGGUCUCUGGGCCAAUACUGACACUGAGGAGCGAAAGCGUGGGGAGCGAACAGGAUUAGAUACCCUGGUAGUCCACGCCGUAA
rnacentral:rRNA from 1 species